ACGAGCACGACGUGGGGCACCAUUCUCACUUGUGUCUGUUUUGUCACCACUAGUUGGUAUA
rnacentral:antisense_RNA from 1 species